rnacentral:rRNA from 1 species
UACGAAGGGGGCUAGCGUUGUUCGGAAUUACUGGGCGUAAAGGGCUCGUAGGCGGCCAACUAAGUCAGACGUGAAAUCCCUCGGCUUAACCGGGGAACUGCAUCUGAUACUGGAUGGCUUGAGAUUGGGAGAGGGAUGCGGAAUCCCAGGUGUAGCGGUGAAAUGCGUAGAUAUCAGGAGGAACACCGGUGGCGAAGGCGCCGCUCUGGGCCGAAACUGACGCUGAGGAGCGAAAGCGUGGGGAGCGAACAGG